CCAGGCUGCUGGUCGGAAAGCCUCUUCCCUCUGUGCUACAAUGGCUUGCAUGACUGCUUUCUUGCUGGAUGGCACCCUCCGUGUUUGGGUCUUUCAUCUCUGUAUCUGCAGAGAAGUUACCAUGCUUGGUUCUAGGAGGCGUACCAAGUAACUAACACUUCCUGAGUACUGAGUAUGCACAGUCAUUCUUCUAAAGGCUUUAUGACAGCCACACAGGGAGGCACUAUGUUUAGCAACCCACCCUGCCCCACCCUGCCCCGUUUCUUGAUAGGUGAAGGCUCCAAGGAGGCUAAGUACUUUGUUCAGAACAUUUCCUGGUCAUAGUAAGUGGUGAACCAAGUCCCCCCCUCCCAAUGAUGUGCUAUAAAAAUGGAAGACUGAAAGCAAAACUCUAUUCACCUAUGUAUUUUUCAGUUAGUGAGUACAUCAGUGUCUAACUGUGCUGUGCUAAGCAAAGAACACUUGUAUUUACUUAGAGCUCUAUAAGAAAGCAGGCUGAGCUUACUUGGAGCUCUACGUGUGUGUGUGUGUCUGUGUGCAUCUGACACAUGUCCAGGCCUUCAGAGGUCCGAAUAAGGUGUCAGAUUCCCUGGAAUUGGAGCUGUGGAUAGUUGUGACCUGUCCAACAUAGGUGCUGGCAAUGGAACCUGGGUCCUCUGCAAGAGCAGCAAGUGUUCCUAACAGCCGAGCAGCCGAGCCAUCUCUCCAGCCCUUAAUUAACUCCAUGACCCUUUUUGUAUGUGAGGGAAAUUUCCCAGUUAAAGGGUGUGUGAUUGUGUGUGUGUGUGAUUGUGUGUGUGUGUGUGUGUGUGUGUGUGUGUGUGGUGUUGCAGGAUCUUACUAUGCAGCCUCAGGCUGGUCUUGAACUAACAGUAUUCUCCUGCCUCAGACUGGUCCUGGGAUCAAAGGAGCAUAUCAAGACAGUUGGCCCUAUGGUCACUUUUUGUAAGGAGAAGAAACACAGGGAGAAAACUCACGCAUCAGACAUACGAUAGUGUAAAUCAGAAAGCCCAUGAUAACCGACUCACCACCAGUCCCUGUGGGCCUGUAAUCACGAUCAAUCAACGUGAAUAAUUCUGAUAGGGACAGACCAUGCAACAAACAGGCCUUGCAUAGUAAAGAUUAAAGGGGCUCAAAUUAAACCUUCGUCUUUUUUUUUUCCCCAGAUGGGGAGACAGCCUCAGAGAGAGGAAGUUGUUCACCCAAACUGCUCAGACCAACUGGUUCAGGAGACAAGACAGGGCCUUGUUCCUCCUCCCUGGUUACUUGUCUUGGCCCCGUGCCAGCCUAAGUAACGAUUGGAAGCGCCGGGCAGCAAGUGAAGGAUCAGAGCUGCUGCAAAAGGUGUGGCACUUCCUCUAGGCUGUGCCAGGCGAGCGUGUUGGUUCCUGACACCCUGAGCAAGGCCGAUUGGGCAAUGGGCCUGUGGUGAGGGCAGAGCCACCUGUGCUGGGGUACUUGGUCAUGUUCUGUGGAAAGUGAUGGUUGCACACUGGGUGCAGCUUCCCCUGUCUUAGGCCAUGUGCUCGCAUGGAGUCAGUCUUAGAAACACCGAUAUUUAGAAAGUUCCAACCUCUCAUUUUCUUAAUUGGCUCUCAUGGGGAGAGGAGUUCCGAGGUAGAAUUAUAAGGUCAGGAUGGAGGACACUGGAUGAGGGUGCUGGUCUGACAGGCUGUGCUGCUCUGGGUAACUUGCCCCUUUUCUGAGCUCCACAGUCUUUCUCACCUUCAACUCUCCUUGACUCUGUAGCCUGUCCUGAUUCUUGGGGAACUUCCUGAGGAGACUGACACACAGCACCCCCUUACUUAUUGAUAUGAAGUGGACGAAGUCUCUUCACCUUGAGAUGGUACAGACCCAUCAGGAAAAAAAUCCAAGGCUGCUCAAGCUACUGAAUUUUUUCUGUUAGGAGGUUCUGAGCCACCUGAAGAACCCCACAUGUUACCACCAGCAGGAAGCUUACUGGCAGUGGGUGAGACAGUCAACCACACUUGGACCCAAGCUGACUUUCCAGGUUCUGACUCCACCCUUAGGGCCUUCCAGUGCACAGCUACUUCCUGCCCCUGAAACUGCUCAUACCUCCUUCCCUUCAGGCAGUGCUCUUGAUAGACCCACGGUACUGCUCACCAUUAUGUCCGACUCAGAGAAAGAGAGGUCAGGAGGUGUCAAGUGAACUGAAGAUGGUACGGUCAAGCCCAGCAUCCUGCCUAUGGCCAUAGGUCCUCGAUGAUGACGUGGUUCCUGCCUUCACAACAUCUUUCCUCGAACUAGGUCUGCUCUGGUCUUGCUUCCUAUCUCACAGCCUUUGCAUGCACUAUACCCGUGUCUAGAAUGUGCUCCCUGCUUCCUGCUGACAAUCUCUUGUCCUUCAGCCCAGACAUCCCACACGCCAUUUUAGGCGGUCUCCCUGACUACCCAACCAAAUCCCUCUGGCACUUCUCAUCUAUGAUAACUACUCUGUUCAACAACACUGUGAUUUGUGUUUCUUUGCAUUUGCAACUUGUCUUAUCCAUUUGCUUUUAGUUUCUACCCCUAAGAUCCUAGUAAUUGUCACCGAGUACAGGGGAUCCUGGUCUGACUAUUGACAACUAUGUCUCCCCGGGCCUGGUGCAUAGCAUGACCUGAACAAAUAUUUAUUGUGUGAGCAAGCAUUCCCUAGGUAGAUAAAGAUGGAAGGGAGACUCUCUAGGGCUCACAGUGGGAAG